UACGUAGGGUGCAAGCGUUGUCCGGAAUUAUUGGGCGUAAAGAGCUCGUAGGCGGUUUGUCGCGUCUGCUGUGAAAAUCCAGGGCUUAACCCUGGACCUGCAUCGGGUACGGGCAGACUAGAGUGGCGGUAGGGGAGAUCGGAAUUCCUGGUGUAGCGGUGAAAUGCGCAGAUAUCAGGAGGAACACCGGUGGCGAAGGCGGAUCUCUGGGCCGUAACUGACGCUGGAGGAGCGAAAGCAUGGGGAGCGAACAGGA
rnacentral:rRNA from 1 species